rnacentral:rRNA from 1 species
AAUUGAGAGUUUGAUCCUGGCUCAGGAUGAACGCUGGCGGCGUGUCUAAGGCAUGCAAGUCGAACGCCCCACACCUUUUAGCUUUUGUGAUAUGAUGAGCAUAUGUAUUACAUCUAUGUUCUCAAAAGUAAAAAGAACGGACGUCUCUACAUUGGAUUUUCUGAUAAUCUAAAACGGAGACUCAGUGAGCACAAUCGUGGUCAAUCAAAGUUUACCAAGCAAUUUCGUCCCUGGAAAUUAAUUUAUUACGAAGCGUAUGCUUCUAAAAAGAUGCGAUGGAACGAGAAAAGCAAUUAAAGAAACUUGCUAAAGCUUGGGGUCAACUUAAACGACGUAUCGAUAAUUCACUUCAGGAAAGUUAAAAGGUGUGGGGAGUGGCAAACGGGUGAGUAACACAUUAGUAACCUACCUCCAAGUUCGGAAUAACCCGAAGAAAUUCGGACUAAUACCGGAUGUGCUCGGAUAUCAUAUGGUGUCCGCGUAAAGGUUUACCGCUUGGAGAGGGGCUUAUGGCCCAUCAGCUUGUUGGUGUAGUAACGGUGCACCAAGGCGAUGACGGGUAGCAGGCGUGAGAGCGUGACCUGCCUCACUGGGACUGAGACACUGCCCAGACUCCUACGGGAGGCUGCAGUCAAGAAUAUUCCACAAUGGGCGAAAGCCUGAUGGAGCGACGCCGCGUGACCGAAGAAGCCCUUCGGGGUGUAAAGGUCUUUUAUUUGGGACGAACCUAUGACGGUACCAAAUGAAUAAGGGGCUGCUAAACUCGUGCCAGCAGCAGCGGUAAUACGAGUGCCCCAAGCGUUAUCCGGAUUUAUUGGGCGUAAAGCGUGGGUAGCCGGUUUUGUAUGUCUGACGUCAAAUCUUGAGACUCAAUUUCAAGACUGCGUCGGAAACUGCGAAACUAGAGGACGGAAGAGGCAACUGGAAUUGUCGGUGUAGUGGUAAAAUACGUUAAUAUCGACAAGAACACCAAAUGCGAAGGCAUGUUGCUGGAACGCUCCUGACGGUCAGCCACGAAAGCGUGGGUAGCGAAUGGGAUUAGAUACCCCAGUAGUCCACGCCGUAAACGAUGGAUACUAGGCAUUGGCAGUUUCGACCCUGCCAGUGUCGUUUAACCAAGCUAACGCGUUAAGUAUCCCGCCUGGGGAGUACGGCCGCAAGGCUAAAACUCAAAGGAAUUGACGGGGAUCCGCACAAGCGGUGGAGCAUGUGGUUUAAUUCGAUAAUAAGCGAGGAACCUUACCAGGGCUUGACAUCUAGCUGCACAUCCCGUGAAAGCGGGAUUCCUUCGAGGGUGCUAGACAGGUGCUGCAUGGUUGUCGUCAGCUCGUGUCGUGAGAUGUACCGUUAAGUCGGGUAACGAGCGCAACCCUCGUCCUAUGUUGCAUAUUCAUAGGAGACUGCCUCUUCGGAGGAGGAAGGAGAGGAUGACGUCAAAUCAGCAUGGCCCUUACGCCCUGGGCGACACACGUGCUACAAUGGCCGGUACAAUGGGACGCCAAGUCGCAAGACGGAGCCAAUCCCACCAAAACCGGUCCCAGUUCGGAUUGAGGGCUGCAACUCGCCCUCAUGAAGCCGGAAUCGCUAGUAAACGCCUAUCAGCCAUGGGGCGUUGAAUACGUUCUCGGAUCUUGUACACACCGCCCGUCACAUCAAGGGAGUUGGUAAUACCCUAAAGCUGACGUUCGUCGGACUAAGGUAGGACCAAUGACAGGGAUGAAGUCGUAACAAGGCAUCCGUAGCGGAAGCUGUGGAUGGAUCACCUCCUUUCUAGGGAGUA